rnacentral:rRNA from 1 species
GCAACACGUAGGAAACCUUCCCUCGAGCGGGGGAUAACGUCCCGAAAGGGACGCUAAUACCGCAUAUGCCCACGCCGACCUCGGUCGGAGAGGGGAAAGCUGGCCUCUGUAUACAAGCUAGCACUCGAGAAUGGUCCUGCGGCGCAUCAGCUAGUUGGUGGGGUAACGGCCUACCAAGGCGAAGACGCGUAGCUGGUCUGAGAGGAUGAUCAGCCACACUGGCACUGAAACACGGGCCAGACUCCUACGGGAGGCAGCAGUGGGGAAUAUUGGACAAUGGGCGCAAGCCUGAUCCAGCCACGCCGCGUGAGUGAUGAAGGCCUUCGGGUUGUAAAGCUCUGUGGGUAGGGACGAAAACGGUCCGGAAGAAACGACGGAUCCUUGACGGUACCUACUUAGCAAGCACCGGCUAACUCUGUGCCAGCAGCCGCGGUAGUACAGAGGGUGCGAACGUUGCUCGGAAUUACUGGGCGUAAAGCGCGUGUAGGCGGAGCGCUAAGUCGGGCGUGAAAUCCCCAGGCUCAACCUGGGAACUGCGCUCGAAACUGGCGUUCUCGAGUAUCGGAGAGGGUGGCGGAAUUCCUGGUGUAGAGGUGAAAUUCGUAGAUAUCAGGAGGAACACCGGUGGCGAAGGCGGCCACCUGGACGAUUACUGACGCUGAGACG